rnacentral:rRNA from 1 species
UUGGGGGGCUGGUAUGAAUGGGUGAACGAGGGCUUAGCUGUCUCACCUAUACUUAUAGAAAUUAACCUUUAGGUGAAGAGGCCUAAAUUAUUAUGAAAGACAAGAAGACCCUGUCGAGCUCUGCACUUCUCCGACCUAUGAAAUUUUAAACACAGAUAAGGAUCACAUCAAGUGCUUCGUUGGGGCGACGAGAGAAAAAAAAACACAUCUCUUGCUUUACAGGUCGACAUACCUACAGAUGACCCAUUACAUAUGAUCAUAGGAAAAAGCUACCGCAGGGAUAACAGGCUAAUCCUCUCAGAAAGCUCCCAUCGACGAGAGGGGUUGGCACCUCGAUGUUGGCUU